rnacentral:lncRNA from 1 species
CAGUAGCAGCUAUUACAAAAGUCUAGAUUGUAUUAAAUUUAGGUUAAAAAUAUUUGGCAAUUUAUAUGCCUUACUAACUAUUACAAUGACUGAAAUAACCCUGCAAAAUAAACAAAAAUAAUAACAGGAAAUAAACAAAUAAUAAAACAGAGUCUAAAAAAGCAAAGCGGAGAAUACGAAGCGGAGACCGUCCAGAACGCGAGCACCGGCUACGAGUCCUCCGCCUGUGAGAGUGAGCACGCCUCCAUAUGCAAGUGCGAGCACGCCUCCGUGGCGAGACCACAAGACCAGCACGCCUCCUUCUGUUCGUUGACCUCUGUCUUCACGAGAGCGAGCACGAUUUGAACGCGUGGGCGAGCACGUCAGCGAGUCCUCCGUCGGCGUGAGCGAGCACGCCUCCGUUUGCGAGAGCGAGCACGCACCCGGCUGUGAGACCGCGAGCACGUCUCCACCUGCACGUCCCCAUCUGCCCGAUCCAGAUACGGCAACUGAAGAGGAACCAAAGUAAUCGCAAACCCAUCCGCUUGCGUGAACGGGAGAGAGCUCUGGCGAGCGCUUGUGUACUGCAAGCGAUCGCUAAGUGAGCCCUUCCGUGAGCGGGAGAGUAGAGCGAUUCCUCCUUCCACUUCCGAUUUGGUCACUGUUCCAGUCCUACGACACACUCAUAUUGCGAUUCCGUUAGCGUUGCUAUCACGAGCUCUCUGCGGUGAGUGUGAUUGACGAUUGGUACCCUCCGUCACGAGGGAUUAGGGUUGAUUCCGCAAGGGCUUCCCUAAUUUUGAGUCGACGAGUGUAAGAGGGUGUUGAGUCGGCGAUUGUUGUGGCUUAAUCGGCGAUUGUUGUGGCUUAAUCGGCGAUUGUUGUGGCUUAAUCGGCGAUUGUUGUGGCUUAAUCGGCGAUUGUGGUGAGUGUGAGUGAAAGUGUAAUUGGCCUUCGCUUAUUUUAAAAAAUAAAAUAAAAUAAAAGAGGAAGAAGAAAGAAUUUGGCUAUUGGGUUUUGUUACUUGGUUUGAGAAUCCACG